CUUCGGUUCUUUUUGUUGGUUCUAGAAUUGAUCUAAUGGUUAAGAGGGACAAACCGGGGGCAUUCGUAUCAUUACGCGAGAGGUGAAAUUCGUGGACCGUAGUGAGACGCCCAAUAGCGAAAGCAUUUGCCAAGAAUGUCUUCAUUAAUCAAGAACGAAAGUCAGAGGUUCGAAGGCGAUUAGAUACCGCCCUAGUUCUGACCGUAAACGAUGCCAUCUCGCGAUUCGGAGGGUUCAUGCCCUACCGAGGAGCUACCCGGAAACGAAAGUCUUUCGGUUCCGGGGGUAGUAUGGUUGCAAAGCUGAAACUUAAAGAAAUUGACGGAAGGGCACCACAAGGCGUGGAGCUUGCGGCUUAAUUUGACUCAACACGGGAAAACUCACCCGGUCCGGACACUAUUAGGACUGACAGAUUGAAAGCUCUUUCUCGAUUUGGUGGUUGGUGGUGCAUGGCCGUUCUUAGUUGGUGGAGUGAUUUGUCUGGUUUAUUCCGAUAACGAGCGAGACUCUAGCCUGCUAAAUAGUCGACGAAUCUUCGGGUUCGUAUAACUUCUUAGAGGGAUAAGCGGUGUUUAGCCGCACGAGAUUGAGCGAUAACAGGUCUGUGAUGCCCUUAGAUGUCCGGGGCUGCACGCGUGCUACACUGGUGGAGUCAGCGGGUUUUUCCUAUGCCGAAAGGUAUCGGUAAACCGUUGAACUUCUUCCAUGUCCGGGAUAGGGUAUUGUAAUUAUUACCCUUAAACGAGGAAUGCCUAGUAAGUGUGAGUCAUCAGCUCACGUUGAUUACGUCCCUGCCCUUUGUACACACCGCCCGUCGCUAUCCGGGACUGAACUGAUUCGAGAAGAGUGGGGACUGUGGCUGCGAGGUUUUACCACUUCGCAGUUGCGGAAACCAUUUUUAUCGCAUUGGUUUGAACCGGGUAAAAGUCGUAACAAGGUAGCUGUAGGUGAACCUGCAGCUGGAUCAUCG
rnacentral:ncRNA from 1 species